UACGUAGGGAGCAAGCGUUGUUCGGAUUUACUGGGCGUAAAGGGCGCGUAGGCGGCGUGUCAAGUCACUUGUGAAAUCUCCGGGCUUAACCCGGAGCGGCCAAGUGAUACUGUCGUGCUAGAGUGCGGAAGGGGCUACUGGAAUUCUCGGUGUAGCGGUGAAAUGCGUAGAUAUCGAGAGGAACACCUGCGGCGAAGGCGGGUAGCUGGGCCGACACUGACGCUGAGGAGCGAAAGCGUGGGAGCGAACAGG
rnacentral:rRNA from 1 species